UUCAUGAAUGUUGUGUUAUCGAGCGUCUUCGAGAAUCAAUGGGAGAUUGCUCCCUGACAGUUGCGGAGGACGGGUGAGUAACACGUGGGCAACCUGCCUAUAAGACUGGGAUAACUUCGGGAAACCGGAGCUAAUACCGGAUACGUUCUUUUCUCGCAUGAGAGAAGAUGGAAAGACGGUUUACGCUGUCACUUAUAGAUGGGCCCGCGGCGCAUUAGCUAGUUGGUGAGGUAAUGGCUCACCAAGGCGACGAUGCGUAGCCGACCUGAGAGGGUGAUCGGCCACACUGGGACUGAGACACGGCCCAGACUCCUACGGGAGGCAGCAGUAGGGAAUCUUCCGCAAUGGACGAAAGUCUGACGGAGCAACGCCGCGUGAACGAAGAAGGCCUUCGGGUCGUAAAGUUCUGUUGUUAGGGAAGAACAAGUACCAGAGUAACUGCUGGUACCUUGACGGUACCUAACCAGAAAGCCACGGCUAACUACGUGCCAGCAGCCGCGGUAAUACGUAGGUGGCAAGCGUUGUCCGGAAUUAUUGGGCGUAAAGCGCGCGCAAGUGGUUCCUUAAGUCUGAUGUGAAACCCCACGGCUCAACCCUGGAGGGUCAUUGGAAACUGGGGAACUUGAUUGCAAAAAAGGAAAAGGGGAAUCCCAGUGUAGCGGUGAAAUGCGUAGAGAUUUGGAGGAACACCAGUGGCGAAGGCGACUUUUUGGUCUGUAACUGAAACUGAGGCCCGAAAACGUGGGGAACAAAAAGGGAUUAAAAACCCCGGGGAAGCCCCCCCCCUAAACCAAUAAAUGCUAAAUGGUUAAAGGGUUUCCGCCCUUUAGUGCGGCAGUAAACGCAUUAAGCACUCCGCCUGGGGAGUACGGCCGCAAGGCUGAAACUCAAAGGAAUUGACGGGGGCCCGCACAAGCGGUGGAGCAUGUGGUUUAAUUCGAAGCAACGCGAAGAACCUUACCAGGUCUUGACAUCCUCUGACAACCCUAGAGAUAGGGCUUUCCCCUUCGGGGGACAGAGUGACAGGUGGUGCAUGGUUGUCGUCAGCUCGUGUUGUGAGUUGUUGGGUUAAGUCCCGCAACGAGCGCAACCCUUGAUCUUAGUUGCCAGCAUUCAGUUGGGCACUCUAAGGUGACUGCCGGUGACAAACCGGAGGAAGGUGGGGAUGACGUCAAAUCAUCAUGCCCCUUAUGACCUGGGCUACACACGUGCUACAAUGGAUGGUACAAAGGGCUGCAAACCUGCGAAGGUAAGCGAAUCCCAUAAAUCCAUUCUCAGUUCGGAUUGCAGGCUGCAACUCGCCUGCAUGAAGCCGGAAUCUCUAGUAAUCGCGGAUCAGCAAUUCGCGUUGUAUACGUUCCGCGGGCGUUGUACACACUCUUCUGUCACGCCACGUGACUUUGUAACCCCAUAAUUGUAAGGGGUAUCCUCAUGGAGCCAGCCGCCUUAUGGGGUCAUUUGUAGGACGUGUAACACACUGUCAA
rnacentral:rRNA from 1 species